rnacentral:lncRNA from 1 species
AUGGGUCACUGUGAUUGCAGGCACCAAGGAGGAGGGCAGCCUGACCACCUGCAUGAGCUGGGGCAGCUGCUCCUUAGGAUAGGAACAGCCUGGGCACAGCUGGUGGGAUGGGAUGGGAUGGGGAGUUUCUUCUCCACAGCAGAGCCAGCAGCAGGCUGUGCAGGGGGUGCUACCGAAAUCACAGGGGCUGCAGGGUUGGAAGAUGGCCCCAGCAGGCCCCUCCUGAAUGGGGCACUGCGCUGUGUAAGGGCAGAUGCAGUGCCACUGCUUCCUGCUCCUCACCUCCCAGCCACUUCCAGCAGCACUGGUGGGUGUCCCACCAGGAAAUCCCUCCAGAAUUGUUGCUGGCAGGGAACUGCAUCUGAGCGACCAAAGGGAAGACCAAAGAACCAAGGGCAGACAUCCCAAGGCCGGUGUUUUCCACAGGGGCGAUGUGGAGAAGCAGGCCCCGGUGUGGGCACAGCCAGAGAAGAAAUCUAUGGAAGCCAACCCACACGGUGUUGGGGACCUUGCUGGGAGAGGGCAGCAAGCACCCUGGGGAGCCGUCCUUCUGCUGCAAGGAGGCUGCAGAUGCAAGGCUCUGUCUUGGACCUCUCUCCCCUGGAAAUGUUGCCACGUGCAUAAAGCCACAGGGCUGUGUUUCUGCUUCAGUGUUCAGGUCAAAUGAACGCAGGUAAUGUCUUUCCUCCCACCUCUGCCAAACAAAAUUUGAUCAGAAAUAUUCUGGCUAAUAUCUAGUACAGCCAAAAAACAGCAGAGGAGGGAAAAACCCUCCCUUCACUGAAAACUUCACAUCAGCCAGCACAAAGCCUGGUUCCAGCCCUGGAUUUCAGGACAAAGGUCAAAUCUAGCAGGUGAUACUGGAGGAAAUGUGUGGGAAGAUAGGCUGGUUGGGUUUUGCCUGGCUUUAAAAUCCACGUGUGAUAUUUUUCAUGUAUGUACUUCCUAAUCCCAUAGUAAAUAGCCAUAAUUUUCCCAUUUCACAAAGUUAAAUGCCCGUAUGCCCUCUUGCACACACAGAAAAAUUGAUCCAGGUGCAGCUGGGAUUCAGAAAGCCUGUGGAGUUUAGAAAGGUCACUUCAAGAGUGGGGAGAGAUUGAGGGUGUUGCUGUUAAUCAAAGAAGGGAUAUCCAACCUCUUUCUGACAAUAAACAAUGCAAAUGAUAUUAGUUCUGCCAGCCUAGAAGUGCUGUUAAGACAUUUCUUGCACUUAACAUAAAUAUCCUCUGCAGUGUCCUCUGACGUCCUGGCUGGGUUUUGCAGUGGUGAGCAGGGCAGAAUUUCCUCCAGUGCUAGGGAUCCCCACACCGCUGUACACCUUGCCUUUUUUCUGCUCUCUCUGCCUGUGAAGCCAGCUGAAAUGACUGUAGGCAGUCAUCCCCCUGCCUUGUCCCCCCUCCCUGACUCUGCCUGUGGUUUUGAGCAAGCUCAGAUUACCAGGGAUCUCCAGAUAAUUCUCCCUCCCUGCUGUCCUGUAAAAUCAACAAACAUCCCCACCUUCCCCAUCGCCUUUUCCCUUCCCUGACUGCUUAAAGACCUGGGAACUCGGCACUGCUGGUGGGAUUUCAAAACCCAGCCCAGGCAGGAGUGCCAGGUUCUGGCUAAACAGCUGCUGUGCACCCUCAAAGCUACACACUGCAAUGAUUUGUAUAGCCCAUUGCUGAACCAGCUACAGCCAUUUGUUUAAAAAAUAAAGAGACAGAUAAAUUCAGCUCUUCUCCUAGCAAGCUGAUAUCAUGCGCCUCUCUUAAAAAUGGCUUGCUCCAGAAUGCAUUAGAGCUAAAUUAUCAUUUAUGUUUGUCACAGGGAUUGCUAAUGUGUAAUGAGAUUUUAGAGUUAAUGUUUUGUACAAAGCACUUAGCGGAGCUAGGAUGAAAU